GACGAACGCUGGCGGCAUGCUUAACACAUGCAAGUCGAACGGAAGGGCCCUGCUUUUGUGCGGUGCUCGAUUGGCGAUCGGGUGAGUAACACGUGAGUAACCUGCCCUUCACUUUGGGAUAACUUCAGGAAACUGGGGCUAAUACCGUAUAGCAGCUCCUGCUGCGUGGUGGGCGUUGGAACGUCUCGGCGGUUGGGGAUGGACGGGCGGCUGAUCAGUUAGUUGGUUGGGUAGUGGCUGACCAAGGCAUUGGCGGGUAGCCGGCCUGGGAGGGUGGACGGCGUCCAUGGGACUGAGGGACGGAGCAGAGGGGUACGUGGGACAGCGGUGGCAAAUCUGGUCCAGUGGUCGCGAGCGUGAUGAAGAAACGCCGGGGUCGGGAUGACGGUCUUCGGGGAGUGAACCGCUUUCGCCUGUGACGACGCGGUUCUGACGGUAAUGGGUGAAGAAGCACCGGCUAACUUCGUG
rnacentral:rRNA from 1 species